UACACAAGUUUGCCGGCUAAUUCCGUCCGAGAUUGGGACGAAUUAGAAGGUAAAUUUCAUGAACAAUUCUAUAGAACUGAGCCGGAAUUAUCGGUUGCCGAUUUAGCCUAGUUCAAACAAAGGACAGGUGAAUCGGUUGAUGAGUAUCUGAACCGAUUUAAGACGGCUCGGAGCCGUUGUUUUGUGAGAAUGCCAGAGUCGGAAUUUGCCAAAAUGGUAUUUAACGG
rnacentral:lncRNA from 1 species